rnacentral:lncRNA from 1 species
CAGCUUUCUCCGUGUGGGGCACGAUGAGGUGAGCACCAGGCACCCGACCCAGCGUGGGACCUGGCCCCAAGGUGCUCCUGCUGUGCUGGGGACUGCGGCUUUUCCUCGGGAAAAUCCCCGACGAGGCUGGAGGCCGGGCAGCGCGGGGAGCUCCAGGGCAACGGAGUCGGUUCAGGAAAAAGAUG